rnacentral:rRNA from 1 species
GAUUAAUACCGCAUAACAUUAGUUUUUCGCAUGGAGAACUAAUUAAAGGAGUAAUCCGCUUUGAGAUGGACCCGCGGCGCAUUAGCUAGUUGGUGAGGUAAAGGCUCACCAAGGCGACGAUGCGUAGCCGACCUGAGAGGGUGAUCGGCCACAUUGGAACUGAGACACGGUCCAGACUCCUACGGGAGGCAGCAGUGGGGAAUAUUGCACAAUGGGCGAAAGCCUGAUGCAGCAACGCCGCGUGAGUGAUGAAGGCCUUCGGGUUGUAAAGCUCUGUCUUUUGGGACGAUAAUGACGGUACCAAAGGAGGAAGCCACGGCUAACUACGUGCCAGCAGCCGCGGUAAUACGUAGGUGGCGAGCGUUGUCCGGAUUUACUGGGCGUAAAGGAUGCGUAGGCGGAUUUUUAAGUGAGAUGUGAAAUACCCGGGCUUAACUUGGGUGCUGCAUUUCAAACUGGAAGUCUAGAGUGCGGGAGAGGAGAGUGGAAUUCCUAGUGUAGCGGUGAAAUGCGUAGAGAUUAGGAAGAACACCAGUGGCGAAGGCGACUCUCUGGACCGUAACUGACGCUGAGGCAUGAAAGCGUGGGUAGCAAACAGGAUUAGAUACCCUGGUAGUCCACGCCGUAAACGAUGAGUACUAGGUGUAGGAGGUAUCGACCCCUUCUGUGCCGCAGUUAACACAAUAAGUACUCCGCCUGGGAAGUACGAUCGCAAGAUUAAAACUCAAAGGAAUUGACGGGGGCCCGCACAAGCAGCGGAGCAUGUGGU